CAGACCUUUGUUCUGGUCCCCUUUCUCUAAAUAAUUUUUCCCAUCUCUAAAACCCCAGUGCCAGUGAGUGUUGGAGGGUGAAUCAAUGAGAGUUUGUUGAUAUAGUUCCUUGAGGUGCAGUAGUGUGAAGAGUUUCAACAACAAGGAUGCAAAUGGGUGCUCUUGCUGUGGGAUGAGGGAUUACGGAUCGUCAGGCCGACUGGGGCACCCCACCACGUCGGUGGUUACCCGGAAGUUACCUGGAAGAUCAUUGCGGCAAUGAUGGCUGGUAACCAGAACUACCCUGACGUUGGCUCUGGCCUUGUAAAGAGUAGAGCAAAUCUUAUUUUGAAUUUAAAUGAAUGGCAGCAUACAAAUGUUUAAGAGCGACUAUUUUACAUUUAUUGUGAGCUUCAUAUUUCAGUUUAAUGUUCUUACUUGUGGCA